rnacentral:rRNA from 1 species
CGUCAAAUCAUCAUGCCCCUUAUGUCUUGGGCGACACACGUGCUACAAUGGCCGGUACAAAGUGACGCGAUUGCGCGAGCAUGAGCAAAUCACAAAAAAGCGGCCUCAGUUCGGAUUGUAGUCUGCAACCCGACUACAUGAAGUCGGAAUCGCUAGUAAUCGCGAAUCAGCAUGUCGCGGUGAAUACGUUCCCGGGCCUU